ACAUCGGUGGCUCAGUGGCAGAAUUCUUGCCUUCCACGCGGGAGACCCAGGUUUGAUUCCUGGCCAGUACA
rnacentral:tRNA from 1 species